rnacentral:rRNA from 1 species
UACGGAGGGGGCGAGCGUUGUCCGAAUUUACUGGGCGUAAAGAGCGCGUAGGCGGAGCCGUAAGUCUGUUGUGAAAGCCCGGAGCUCAACUCCGGAGGGUCAAUGGAUACUGCAGCUCUUGAAGGCACUAGGGGGAGAUGGAAUUACAGGUGUAGCGGUGAAAUGCGUAGAUAUCUGUAGGAACACCAGUGGCGAAGGCGGUCUCCUGGGGUGCACUUGACGCUGAGGCGCGAAAGCUGGGGGAGCAAACGGGAUUAGAUACCCCGGUAGUCCCAGCCCUAAACGAUGGAUACUAGGUGUGGGGGGUAUCGACCCCCCCCGUGCCGUCGCUAACGCAUUAAGUAUCCCGCCUGGGGAGUACGGCCGCAAGGUUG